ensembl:lncRNA
ACUAUGACGAGCUGCCAUCUAGUGGAAAAGUGGAGAUCACAUCUCAGCCAGUCACUAAAGGUGCUAAAAAGACUGUUCUCAAAUCUGCAAGGAGUGGAAAAAGCUACGUUAGAAAGGUGGGAGUUGCAUAUACAAGGCUCCCCAUGGGUAAACAAACUCAGGCUGGCAUUUGAACCUCUGAGGGCAGUGUAUCUGCACAGAAAUUUGCAACACAUGUACAUAUGUUCAUAACAUUACAUGUGCGUGUGUUCAUGAUGUUUAAAAUAUAACAAACCAGACAUCCCUGGAGCUACAGAUGCCUGGUGUGCAUCGUGUUGGUGAUUAGCAUCCCUUGACCAUUCUGAAGUCCAGGAACCCUGACUGCCAGGAAAGCCCUCAAGACAGCAGUUUCACUGGGUGGAAGGCACCACAGUAGCUGUGGGAAGAUGUUAUUUUUGCAGAGGCUGCUUAGCAUAGACUAUCACUAAGGGUCAGCACUUCCCAAGAGAGCUGGCUUGCAGUCAGGUUCUCUUCCCGGUUCUCACGCAACGGCUCCACGCUGCAGCGCCUGGAUUAUAAACAGGGGAGCAUUUAAACUCAAGCAAUUUCUUUUCCUCCUCGCCGAGAUCUAUGCAGGAGCCAAGUUUUAAACAAAGCGGUUCAGUCAAUUAUAUGCAAAAAUUAUUAUAAAGCAAAGAACCGUUUAAACUUUUUGGACAACGGAUAUUUGCAGCGUGCCAAGAGGCAACACAAACUGCUGUCCUCACUGAAAUGAGUGACCCAGCCUGCCGCCCACUCUGGGACCAGAUAUUUCGGAGGAAGAAGUAAGAAACUCUGCUUUCAAAGAGUUGCCUCAGUCUUUUCCUCCCUCCUUAUAGAGCCAGUAGUUGGCAAGGCACAGAAAACAGACACCUUGAUUUCACUGUGGCGAUGCAGACACACCGUGCAUAACAGCGUGAACUUCCCUUCACCCUGCCCUCCUCCCAGGUGAGUCUCCAGUUAUGAGAUCCACAAUACAAAGGUUGUUCAACAGCCCACCACUCUGUCAACCUUCAUUUCCAUCCCCGCUGUCCAGUGCUCAUCCAUGCACAACUGCUUGCUCCAUCUCACUCCUUUCUGCUGUUGCCCUCAAUAUUGAUGUACGCAUUCUUUUCAGAUGUAGUGAGGCAUUUGGGUUUGGAGCUUUGAAGCCACAUCAAAU